rnacentral:rRNA from 1 species
UACAGAGGGGGCAAGCGUUGUUCGGAAUUACUGGGCGUAAAGGGCGCGUAGGCGGCCUUCUAAGUCGAACGUGAAAGCCCGGGGCCCAACCCCGGAAUUGCAUCCGAAACUGCCUGGCUGGAGUCCCGGAGAGGAAGGCAGAAUUCCCGGUGUAGGGGUGAAAUCCGUAGAUAUCGGGAGGAAUACCAGCGGCGAAGGCGGCCUUCUGGACGGUGACUGACGCUGAGACGCGAAAGCGUGGGGAGCAAACAGG